CCAACCAGGGGACCUGGCCCCUAACCCAGGUAUGUGCCCUGAUCAGGAAUUGAACUGAUGACCUUUCAAUUCAUAGGCCAAUGCUCAAACUGCUGAGCCACAACAGCCUGGGCAUAUAUGCCACCUUUUGACAGGUCUGUUUUUUUGGUUCUUAUACAUCCCUUUUCAUUCCCCAAAUACCGGUAAUUUUAUACCUACUUGCUUGUCUCAUAGCUGAUUUCACUCUCUACCUUCAUAUCCAUCCUACUAGAUUGCUUUUCCUAGGCUUAGACUUGUUAUAAUUUUGAUCAAAAUAACAUACAGGUUCCCAACUGUGCAUUUAAUUAAGUCCAGAUUCCUCACUUUGAAAUCUUUACAAAAUGUUUUAAUUUCAUCUUUUUAGUUUUAUUUUUGACUUAACAUAUUCAGUAUUUCUUAAAUACACCUCUGAAGUUUUGUCCUUGUCUUUGCACACAUAGAUUCCUUGUAGAGCAAUAAUUCUUAGAAAAAUGUUGUUGUCAAAGGCCUGCCUCUUCAUAAUCCAGCUCAAAGUUCACCUUCACUGUCAAUGAUAAUUCACAUCCAAAAUUCUUUUGUAACCUCUCCCUCUCAUACACUACAGCACUUGUAGCAGUCUUAAAGGAUUUAGCAUUUCCUUUACUGUGGUUCAGUUUUUGCCUCACCCUUUCUCAUUUCAACAUUGUAUGUGAAGCAGUAUAUAUGAAGUUUCCUGUGGACACAGGAGGGGUGGGGUUGGGGGCACAACGAAAACUGAAAGCCCUCUAGCAGUCGACUUGUGGAAGACAAACAUGGGCGGAAACUGACGGCAGCAAAGGUAGAGGUAAGAAGGUGGGCGUGGGUGGGAGAAAGGGCCUGGUUUUGAGGACACGGUGAGGAUUAUUAUCUCAUACCUUGCUCAUAAGAAUUUGUUGGAUUUCUAGUGGGAUUUAAAAAAAAUCUUGUUCCCAAGUUUUCACUGUAUUUAAGAAUCUGAUAGAAUAUAUAUACAUAUAUAUGUAAAAAUUCCUUGAAAAGACCCCCAGAAGUGUUUAGUACUAGAAUGUAUUGAUUAAAAUGUGAUGGUAUCACAAACCUUCCUCAGACCAGCAAGGAAUCAAUCAAGUCAUGCUGGAAUUUAUCCCAUAUAACAAAUUUUAUUUUGUACCAGUUAUGUGCCAGGUUAU